rnacentral:misc_RNA from 1 species
AAGUCGUAACAAGGUUUCCGUAGGUGAACCUGCGGAAGGAUCAUUACUGAGUUUAGGGUCUCUUUUAGAGCCCGAACCUCCAACCCUUUGUUAAAAACACUUUGUUGCUUUGGCAGGCCCGUCUUAUCCUUUAACGGGGAGACGACCGCCGGGGGCGUUUAGUCACCUCUGGUCAGUGCUUGCCGAUAGCCUAUUAAAAAAUUCUUUAUUAAAUAAUGUCUGAAAAAAUUUAUAAUUAAAUAUAAUUAAAG